rnacentral:rRNA from 1 species
UAACAGGCUGAUGUCCUUUUAGAGUUCUUAUCGACAAGGACGUUUGGCACCUCGAUGUCGACUCAUCACAUCCUGAGGCUGAAGAAGGUCUCAAGGGUUCGUCUGUUCGCCGAAUAAUGUGGUACGUGAGUUGGGUUUAGAACGUUGUGAAACAGUUUGGUCCCUAUCUACGAUAAAUGUUAGAAAAUUGAGGAGAUUAUUCUUUAGUACGAGAGGACCGAGAAACGCAAACCUAUGGUGUUCCGAUUGUCUUUUGUGGCAUCGUCGGGUAGCUACGUUUGUUUUAGAUAAUCACUGAAAGCAUCUAAGUGAGAAACUGACUCUAAAACAAAUUUUCUUA